GAUGAACGCUGGCGGCGUGCCUAAUACAUGCAAGUCGAGCGAACGGACGAGAAGCUUGCUUCUCUGAUGUUAGCGGCGGACGGGUGAGUAACACGUGGAUAACCUACCUAUAAGACUGGGAUAACUUCGGGAAACCGUAGCUAAUACCGGAUGAUAUUUUGAACCUCAUGGUUCAAAAGUGAAAGACGGUCUUUCUGUCACUUAUAGAUGGAUCCGCCCUGCAUUAGCUAGUUGGUAAGGUAACGGCUUACCAAGGCAACGAUGCAUAGCCGACCUGAGAGGGUGGUCGGCCACACUGGAACUGAGACACGGUACAGACUCCUACGGGAGGCAGCAGUAGGGAAUCUUCCGCAAUGGGCGAAAGCCUGACGGAGCACCGCCGCGUGAGUGAUGAAGGUCUUCGGAUCGGAAAACUCUGUUAUUAGGGAAGAACAUAUGUGUAAGUAACUGUGAACAUAUUGACGGUACCUAAACAGAAAGCCACGGCUAACUCCGUG
rnacentral:rRNA from 1 species